rnacentral:rRNA from 1 species
GACGAACGCUGGCGGCGUGCUUAACACAUGCAAGUCGAACGAGAACGGAUUAUAGCUUGCUAUAAUUGUCAGCUAAGUGGCGCACGGGUGAGUAAUGUAUAGGUAAUAUGCCUCUUACUAAGGGAUAACAAAUGGAAACGUUUGCUAAUACCUUAUACUCCUUAUUAACAUAAGUUAAUAAGGGAAAGAUUUAUUGGUAAGAGAUUAGCCUGUAUUGUAUCAGUUAGUUGGUGGGGUAAUGGCUUACCAAGACUAUGACACAUAACUGGUUUGAGAGGAUGAUCAGUCACACUGGAACUGAGACACGGUACAGACUCCUACGGGAGGCAGCAGUGGGGAAGAUUGCACAAUGGACGGAAGUCUGAUGCAGCAACGCCGCGUGGAGGAUGACACAUUUCGGUGCGUAAACUCCUUUUAUAUGAGAAGAUAAUGACGGUAUUAUAUGAAUAAGCACCGGCUAACUCCGUGCCAGCCGCCGCGGUAA